UACGAAGGGGGCUAGCGUUGUUCGGAAUUACUGGGCGUAAAGGGCGCGUAGGCGGAUAGUUUAGUCAGAGGUGAAAGCCCAGGGCUCAACUUUGGAAUUGCCUUUGAUACUGGCUAUCUUGAGUUCGGGAGAGGUGAGUGGAAUGCCGAGUGUAGAGGUGAAAUUCGUAGAUAUUCGGCGGAACACCAGUGGCGAAGGCGACUCACUGGCCCGAUACUGACGCUGAGGCGCGAAAGCGUGGGGAGCAAACAGG
rnacentral:rRNA from 1 species